UCAAAUGUCAGCAUUUGACCACCUCAGUUUAUUUACAGAAACACUUUAAACACAAUGCAGAAGAAGAAGAAGAAGAAGUACUUCAAAAAACUACAAAAUAAAGGAUUAAAAACACACACACACACACACAUACACACACACACACACACACACACAUACUCUCUCUAUCACACACACACACACACACACACACACACACGGUUCACACUGUUACACACGGAGCAUGCAGCUUCAGUUAAUACAGUACAGUACAAUAUCCAUCAUAGUAGAAAAGCUGAGGGGAUGUGGAGGAGCUGGUUAUGGAUUAUCAAUUAUUGAUUCUGCAGAGAGGGAACAGGACAGGAAACAGGAAGGGGACGCCGUGACCUUCGACCUUUGGAUUACAUUGUUACAGACAGGAAAACAGAACGAUCGUUGGAAAUAUCCAGAAAUGUAAACAGGUUUGGAUUAUUGAUGGAUAUUUUAUUGAUCGAUUCUGAAGUUUUCAUGUCUGUCUGUGAUGAAAAUCUAAAGAGGACGGAUCAUCUGUGAGGAGCUGCAGACCCCGGCCCUUAGUUUGUUUAUUAUAGUUACAACAGAAAGUAUCUGAGCGUAAUAAAAACAGAUGUAUAAAAUAAAACCUUCAUUUAGAGCAAACAGAUCAUUUUAAUCAUGUGACUCUGAAAGACAACGGUCCAAAGUCUGGUCUGUGUCUGAUGAUCAGUUUUUGUGUUUUUAAUGACAUCUGAUUAAAGUUCCACUCUGUAAUGUUUUUACUCGUGUUUAAAGAAGGUGACAUACUGGCUCAGUAAAUAUUAUACUGUCACUACAGAGUUAAACCCUUUAAAGCUCCUGUGAGGAGAUUUAUAAUAUUUAUAUAAGAAUGAAAAGAUCAGCAGGAGGGGAGAGGUCUUAUUUUUGUCCACGGGGGGCAGAAAGUUCCUCACAGGAGCUUUAAUAGAUGAAUAAGUUUGAAUGUCGGUGUAUUUAACUCUGAACAUUUCUACAGUUUGGUUUGUUCCUAAGUUCAUGAGUUCAGUGGCCCUGAAGGUCAACUACACGAAUAACACAUCCCUGCAAAAAUAUUUCAGAGUUUGAUUAAAGGUUUCUCUGGUAGCUCAAAAAUUCUGGACAAAAAUCCAUGAAACACAGUUUCAUAAAACCUGAAACCAUAAAAACAGUAAAUUUUUCAGAACCAUAGAUGAAACAUUUUCUGAUUAAAAAAAAAACUAAAUAAAAAAGUUUCAGGAGAUGUAUUUCCAAAUGAUCUAAAAACAAGUUCACAAAAUAAAAAUUAAUAAAGGAAAAAAAAUGUUUGUGAAAUAUUUUUUGUUUAACUGAAUAUUAUUUUAUUUUCAUGAAAUGUUUUUGCAUUUUAUCAAGUUUUUUUGUGAAAUGGUGGAACACUUUUGUGUUUUGCAUUUAAAUAUUUAGUUUAAACUUUGAAAACUUUUGGAGAAGUGAAACCUUCACUGAGUGACACUUCCUGAAAUGAUUUGGGGUUCUGUGAUAUCUUUAUUGUCAAAUACUAAAUUCAUUCAUGAAACUUUUUCAGCAAUGAAACGUUUUAAAAGUUCAAGAAGAGUUUUUUUUUGCAUCACAAAAUGUUCGUACAGUCGAUCCCUUAGUCAUCCUUAUGUCACAAAACCCCAAAUCAUUCCAUGAAAUAAAAAAAAGGGUUUUAGGACUCAAUAAUUGAAUAAAGAAACAAAAAUCUGGAAAUGCAAUUUUUUUUUUCACAAAACACGAGAGAUAAAAAUAAAAAAAGGCUUUAGUAUUUAAUAAAACAAAAAUAUUCAAUAAAACCUAAAAUGAUCUAAUAAGAUAAGAAAUCCACAGCCCCUCAAUAUUUUCAUCAGCUUCUUAAAACAAAUUAUAAAGUCCUGAAAAUUCAUAAAAAGCAAAAAAGUAAUAUAUUUAUAUUUUUUUAACUUUUCAAGGAAUUUUUGGUUGUAAUUUUUCUGCCUUUUGUGAAACACUUUCAUAUUUAAUGUUCACAGAAUUUCAGCUUCACUUGAGUCAUUUUUUCUUUGUAGUCAAACUUUCUGACUUCGUGUCAUUUUUGUGUCGUCGACCUUCAGGGGGCGCUGUAAAAGUGACGUUAUAGUUCAUUACAGAAACACAUCUGAACUUUCAUGAACCUCCGUUGUUGUAAAUAUUCAAAGAUAAUAAAUGUCGUUUGAUUCGUGUCUGAUCCAAGCUGAGAGAGUUGUGUUCGCACCAAAGACUUUUUGUUUUUUAAAAUCUGUUAGCUAAAAAUGUUAGCACAGCUGCUAACGCUCGCAUUAGCCAGAUAUUUUCACCUCUCCCUCGCGGUAUGAAUUUGUCCCGUUUUAAACAUUGAUUGGGGGUUCAGUUUUGAGUUCAAGUCGAUUUUCUGAAGUUCAAAAACCUGAGAAUCUGAUUGUCACUGAGAAAAAUUAAUGAAAACUCAAAGGAGAGAUCUGAUGUCAGCUAACGACGUAGCUUUUAGCUAGUUUAUACUGCAGCUAAUCGCUAGCUGGUGUUAGCUAACAACGCUAACAGUCUCUGCUGUCUGUAGCUCCUCCCCCUCCUGUUUCCCAGUUCUGCAGUUUGAAACAGAGACUUCCGACCGCUCACAGCCUCAAAUGAAAACAUUAAACUGUCUGUCUGAGAUGAAAACAUGAACACAGUCAUCCAGUCACUGACUGUCGGAGGUCGGAAGUCGCUGUUUUCGAUUGAUGAGGAUAAAUAUGAAGCAGCCACACCCAUUAAACAUCCGAUAAAAACAGGAAAAACAUCGUAGCCUCUGUUCGUAGAAUGACGAGAAAUCUGCUUUACGAUGAAAUCUUCAGUUUCAAGCAAAAACACCAAAAGAGUUUAAAAAAUGACAUCUCCGAUAUUUGCAGGCAGCGUCUCAAAGACUUCCACCGACGAUAAAUCAAACUUUCAAGUGUCAUAAAAGGUCAAAGGUGAGGUUUAGAAAACACGCACUAAUCUACUGUAGAAAACAGCCAUUCAGUCGGUACGCGGCGUUUGGCGUCCCGGCUGAAACUGACCUCGGAUCGGAUCGACAUGAGAAGCCUGAGCAGGUUCAAGAAAACUCAAAAAGUCGACCUUGAAAUGACGAGAAAAAGUUCUCGUUAAUAUUUUUAGUUUUUCCAUUUUAAUGAUCGUUCCUUCAACUUAUCGAAGCGUCGACCCGGUAAAUGACGUUUACACGAUAGUUUCAAAGUUUAUUAUUGUAGCUCACAGGCUCCGCCCCCUGAAGAAGUCCCGCCUUUUUACAGGUGACAAGAGUCCCACGUCAUCUCUGAGAGGUUAACGGUCAUUUGUAGGCCGCCAUCAGCAGAACCGUCCUGAGCCGGGACGCCAAACGGCACCAAGAUGUCGAGGAAAAUAAUGGCAGGGGGCGCUGUGCCGAACACAUUCAGCGGUUGCUAUGGGAACUCGUGUCACACAUUAUUAUACUGCAUUUAUAAUAACAAAAAAAUAUGCUAAUAAUCCACUAUGUGAUCUCUACAGGGUGAUCCACACAAGGCCGGCACUGAAUGUCUGAUUCCAACAUUAAAAAGCUGUAAAUAUACAAACGCCAGAUAUCGAGAAUAUUCAUAAUUAUAUUAAUAAUAUCAUCAUCUUUGUAAGAAUCUGAUUGUACAAAGUUCUACAUUCUCCUGACGGUAAAAAGCUGCUUACAACCUCUGAGACAAACACAACGGGUCAAAAAUCGCAGAAUAUCAAAGACCGCUCUGUCAGCGUUUUGUUCGUUCGCGGCGAGCGGACCUCUCAGCUCCUGACGAGAAACGCUGACGAAGCCAACAACUCUAACUCAGGUCGCUGUAGCCACGAACGCGAAAACCCCGCAGAGGCCGAAGCUGAAACACAAAACACAAACUAUGCAUGCAGAGAAUCACGUCGUCUGUACAGAAAGUAAACACCAGCACUGUAGAGGAAGAAAUAGGAGCUCUCCGAACGCAACUCCAGUCAGAACGCCAACCACGUCACAACUCCGCCACGGCACCAAAACCCUCACAAAAACAGCCCAACUGAACCCGGAACCCUGAGCAGGUUCAGGGUUCGGCUCACUCACUUUCCAAAAGAGGAGAUUUAAUUUAAUUAAAAUGUUAAAGUCUGAAUUUUAAGGCCCCGUUAAUGAAAAACAACCAGAUCUAUGAGAUCCGGCGCAGCAGCCGCACCACGAACGGACCGCACACCGGGGACGCCAGAGUCCUGUGGUACGGAGGCUCAGGAGAGACAAGAAGCUGCCUCGUGUUCAGAUGAAGAAAUAAACUCGCUGACGUCUCAUUAAAGUGUUUUUGUGUCCUCUCCGAUCGUUUUAGAAAUAAACAGAAACUUCGCAGAACUUCACCAGAGCGCCACUUCAGAGUGGAUUUAUCGUGAUUUUACUGUGAACAUUCAGCCUCUAAAAAACACUGAAAUAUGACACUUUUGUCCCUCUCAUGACUCCGUACAGGUGAUCUCAUGGUGGCGUUUGGUCCCAGGAGAUGAUGUACAAUUGUGCUUAAUUCUGAUUGGCUGUCUGCUCAUCUCUGCCACUUCAAAUAUUUAUGUUGACAAACCUGUCCCCUCCUGGAAACCGAUUAAAUCUUUUACUCACAGUCAACCUUCCUUCCUUCCUUCCUUCCUUCCCUCCCUCCCUUCCUCCUUCUCUCAGUCCUACCGUCUUUCCUUCUAUCCUUUCUUUCCUUGACCCUUCUUUUCUCCCUUCCACUCUUCCCUUGAUUCCUUCUUCAUUCCCUUUUCUAUCCCUCCUUCCACCCUCCCCUCACUCUGUCUCCUUCCUUCCUUCCUUCCUUCCUAGGUGGACUCUCUUGAUCUGAAUUAUUUGGUGAUUGUGUAAUCGUCCUGGCAGCAGACAAACAGCUCAUUAAGGUUCCUUGUUAAGGCUCGUUAAGACCCCUGACAGGUGGUCUGUUGGGGGGGGGGGUGUUAAUGGAAGAACUCAGGUGGGAAAACGAUGGAAGAUAGACGAGCUCUCUGAGCCCGACGGAAGCAGAAACAAGUGUACAAACUCGUCAUUAUCGACACAUUCUGAUCGUCUCUUAAUCUAAUAGAUUAUCUGAUGUCGUUAUCACAUCAUCUCUGCUUUAUAAUACAGUAAUUAAAGCUGAGCUCACAAUCCAUUACUUUGACCCAAAUAUCUCCACCUCACAACACACGUCUGUUUCUGUUUGUUUCAUCAUUUCUUUAAAAACAAUCAAAAUACACAAUUUAACGUCCGAACUGUAAUAAUUAUACAGGCGUCUGCGUCUGUAAAAUCAUUAAACAACAACAGUAUUAGAGGGUGGAGAUAAUGGGUCCGCUAAUAAUGACCGUGAUGAGUAAACAUGGUUUCACAUUUUCUAUUCUCCUCGUUUUACAGCGGUGAAAACCUCGUAUCUCCAGAGCUCUCUCACUGUUCUUCUGAGGACACUGACAUCUGUGAACAUCGUCAGAGUCAGGAGAGAAACACUCAGAUUUACAUCUAUUAACAUCGUCAGAGUCAGGAGAGAAACACUCAGAUUUACAUCUGUGAACAUCGUCAGAGUCAGGAGAGAAACACUCAGAUUCGUCCAGAUAGAGACGUCUCUGAUGAGCUUUCUGCACGACUAAAGACAAAUCAUUUAAUAACUUUGACACAGAGUCUCUCCUUAUUUAAAAAUGUUUAUGAUUUAAUCCCAGGUUAAUCCCUCAGAUUAGAUAAAGACGCCAUUUUAAAGUCCACUGUGUGUGAGAUUCAUAACAUCAUUAAAAUUAAUGCAGAAAAGGAUUUAAAUCUCAUUAAACAUAAACUCACUCUGACACCUGUCACUGAAGUACGACAUUAAACUUCACAUAUGUACACAUAUAUAUAGUUUAAUGUAUAGGUUCACAGCUUAUAUACAUAUA
rnacentral:lncRNA from 1 species